AACGAACGCUGGCGGCAUGCCUAACACAUGAAAGUGAACCAGACCCUCCGGGCCUGGUGGCGCAGGGGGGGUUACGCCGUGGAACCUGGCCCUAGGGUUCGGAUAACCUCCCGAAAGGGGGUCUAAUUACGGGUAAUGGUCUUCGACCAAAAGUUUAUCGCCUUUGGAUGGGGCCGCGUUGGAUUUGCUAGGUGGGAGGGUAAAAGCCUAACAAGGCGACGAUCCAUAGGUGGGCGGGGAGGAUGCUCAGCCACACUGGGACUGAGACACGGCCCAGACUCCUACGGGAGGCAGCAGUGGGGAAUAUUGGACAAGGGGCGAAAGCCUGAACCAGCAAGGCCGCGUGAGUGAAGAAGGCCUUAGGGUUGUAAAGCUCUUUUACCCGGGAUGAUAAUGACAGUACCGGGAGAAUAAACCCCGGCUAACCCCGU
rnacentral:rRNA from 1 species